AUGCACCACGGUCUGCUCUGCUGGGUGGCCCUGUGUCUCUGGGGAGCAGGCUCCAUGGACACAGAGGUCACCCAGACUCCCAGACAUCUGCUCCAAGGAAAGGCACAGACAGCAAAGAUGGACUGUGUCCCUGCAAAAGGGCACAGUUAUGUUUAUUGGUAUCAUAAGAAGCCAGAAGAAGAGAUAAAAUUUGUGGUGUACUUACAGGAUGAAGAAAUUAUUGAGAAAACAGACGUGAUCAAUGAGCGAUUUUCAGCUCAAUGUCCCAAAAACAAACCCUGCAGCGUGGAGAUCCAGUCCACUGAACUAGACGACUCGGCCCUGUAUUUCUGUGCCAGCAGCCAAUCCACAGUGCUCAAAGUUCGCUUUCCUUCGAACACAAACUCAGCCUGCACCCAGCUCAGGAAAUGA